rnacentral:rRNA from 1 species
GACGAACGCUGGCGGCGUGCUUAACACAUGCAAGUCGAACGAAGAGCGAUGGAAGCUUGCUUCUAUCAAUCUUAGUGGCGAACGGGUGAGUAACGCGUAAUCAACCUGCCCUUCAGAGGGGGACAACAGUUGGAAACGACUGCUAAUACCGCAUACGAUCUAAUCUCGGCAUCGAGGAUAGAUGAAAGGUGGCCUCUACAUGUAAGCUAUCACUGAAGGAGGGGAUUGCGUCUGAUUAGCUAGUUGGAGGGGUAACGGCCCACCAAGGCGAUGAUCAGUAGCCGGUCUGAGAGGAUGAACGGCCACAUUGGGACUGAGACACGGCCCAGACUCCUACGGGAGGCAGCAGUGGGGAAUCUUCCGCAAUGGACGAAAGUCUGACGGAGCAACGCCGCGUGAGUGAUGACGGCCUUCGGGUUGUAAAGCGCUGUUAAUCGGGACGAAAGGCCUUCUUGCGAAUAGUGAGAAGGAUUGACGGUACCGGAAUAGAAAGCCACGGCUAACUACG